AGUGAACGCUGGCGGUAGGCCUAACACAUGCAAGUCGAACGGCAGCACAGUAAUAGCUUGCUCUUACGGGUGGCGAGUGGCGGACGGGUGAGGAAUACAUCGGAAUCUACUUUUUCGUGGGGGAUAACGUAGGGAAACUUACGCUAAUACCGCAUACGACCUACGGGUGAAAGCAGGGGAUCUUCGGACCUUGCGCGAUUGAAUGAGCCGAUGUCGGAUUAGCUAGUUGGCGGGGUAAAGGCCCACCAAGGCGACGAUCCGUAGCUGGUCUGAGAGGAUGAUCAGCCACACUGGAACUGAGACACGGUCCAGACUCCUACGGGAGGCAGCAGUGGGGAAUAUUGGACAAUGGGCGCAAGCCUGAUCCAGCCAUACCGCGUGGGUGAAGAAGGCAUUCGGGUUGUAAAGCCCUUUUGUUGGGAAAGAAAAGCAGCAGGUUAAUACCCCGCUGUUCUGACGGUACCCAAAGAAUAAGCACCGGCUAACUUCGUG
rnacentral:rRNA from 1 species